rnacentral:rRNA from 1 species
UACAGAGGGUGCGAGCGUUAAUCGGAAUUACUGGGCGUAAAGCGCGCGUAGGCGGCUUGCAAGUCGGGUGUGAAAUCCCCAGGCUUAACCUGGGAACUGCAUUCGAGACUGCAUUGCUAGAGUAUGGGAGAGGGAAGUGGAAUUUCCGGUGUAGCGGUGAAAUGCGUAGAUAUCGGAAGGAACAUCAGUGGCGAAAGCGACUUCCUGGACCAAUACUGACGCUCAUGUGCGAAAGCGUGGGGAGCAAACAGG